CAGACGCGCAGCUCCGCUUUAUGCUGGCGAAGUGUGGAGGUACUCAAGCUUGGCCUGCGCCUUUCUUCUGAAGUUCUGCCAUGCAUAGAGAGAGGAGGUCCGGCUCCCACUAAUAUAUUCUCCCGUGCGGUGCAGCAUCACAAAAGCAAGGGUGUUGGAUGUGGGGCGGGGGUGUGGGGGUGUGGGGGGGGAUUCGACAAUGUAAAUAUUACUCUUUUGCAAGGUUUUUUUUUUUGUGUGGCCGGGGUGUUGUAGUUUGCCGAUUAAAUGUCACGUGGCACGAUUGUAAUGCCCAGCGGAGCCUCAGAACCCUUGGUGUGUGAAAAAUCCUGUUGGAACCAUUGUGCCGGGGCUGUGUAGCGUAGCCUUCGCCGCCGGAACAAUGCCGGACAGGAAGCUGCCGUCUCCCACGCUCGGCGGCCAGCUCCGUGCCUCUAAUGUAAAUGGGGGGAAACGUGCCGAAGGAAAAGAAAGGUGGUCUGUCGUUCUCGUCUCUCCUCUCCCCUCGGUCAUACUGGGCUGGCUCUUUCCCGGCAACGGCGGUGUCUCGCGGUUCCGGGCACAACGUUAGCGGGUUUUUUGGCGGCGCGGUGACGUUUCAUUUUUCGCCGUUAAUUUUGCCGUUUCUUUUUCUUUUUUUGCCCGUUAAGCUGGAAUUUGUAAAGUGAGCGAGUUCUAACCCGGAUCCUGGGGAUUUGUCGGUACUUUUUUGUCUGCACUGCCUGCGAGAGGAGAGAGAGGAGAUGGUGAGUUUGUUCACCUCCCCUAACCAAGGGCAAAGUUAAAGAGCGCCAUGUCAGACAAACGGUCAAAAAAAACCCUGGCCUUUUUUCAGUCACUCUGGGCUCUCGGUCAUACGGGGCUCGGGGCCCUCGAUCAAAGCCCCUCCCCCCUGCCCGUCAGGCUGCUCGUAGGGCCUCGCUGACCCACCGUGUGUUUGGCAGGCCGUCGUGCGGAGGAGGAAGCAUCGGCUCGUUCAGCCGUCCCUCGGGGGGGAGGGUUCGCCAGUGCUGGCGUUGGUAGCAAAGAGCUGGCGGCUGUGCAUGGCCCUCCCCCCCUCCCACGCCGUUUUUAUAACCCACUUUCAGACCCGUGAGGCCGUGUGACACCUCCACGGGCCGGGCGGCCUCUUCGCCAGCCCUCUGCGAACUCUGACCUCAUGCGACGGGCCGUGGCACUGUGGAAAGGAAACAGCGGACACAGAGAACAAGGAAGAACGAGAGAGAGGUGGUAAGAGAAAGACAUCGAGAAUAAAAGCGAGUCAGAGAGAGGAGAGAGGACAGUGAGGGCAUAGAGAGAAACAGAGAUACAGAAAAAUAAGGUGAAGAAAGGAAAGAUGGAGGGAGACAGGGAGAAAGAGCGAGCACAGAGAAGGAGAGUGAGGGUGAAGGAGAGAGAUAACGGAAACUCCUGACACAGGCAGGUCAAAGCACCAGUGCCCUGCCACCACUCAGCAAGGGAAAAGCUUGCUCACCUGUUUCAUGAUUCAUGCGCCAGGUACCAUGGGUGUACACAGACAGCCAGAACGUCAUUCACUCGCUCCUCUCUUCCUCCUCCUCUCUCUGAAUACAUCUCCAAUACCGUCCCUAGUUUUAGCCAUUCUUUAAUCAACAUAUUAACAAAAUACAAGAGAGGAGAUUGGGUUCAGGUUUUGCUGGAGAUCAAAGCACAGACUGACAGUAAGACAGCAGGGGAAGGUAUCGCAUUCAUAUCUGAAACAAGCAGGAUUCUGCUAUGAGGGGUUUUUUUUAACCAGGGGGGCCCCCGAACACAAGUUCAGCCACUACCACAUGCGGCUUCCUGUUUGCAGCCUCUUACAGUCCAUGCCAAAUAAUACCCUAUCUCCCGUUCUGUGGGAACUACAUAUCACAUGUUAUUUGCACAUAAACAUCUCAGCAGGAACCAAAGAAGAUCUUUCUCUAGUUAUUUGUCUUUGGGCCCCUGCUGGUAAGCCAUGCCCAUCUCCUACCAUACAGUAAAUGUUGAGCUUGGAGGCUGAGAACAGAGGAUUUUUUUGGAGGUUUUACAAUUUAGCCAUUAUUAGACACCCUUUUCCAGAGCAACAUACACAGCUUUUU